AAAUUCUACUCUGCCUUACUCACUCUCUGUUGUCUGUGUACCUUAUUCCUUUUGGUUGCAGGACAAGAACCUGGAACUCACCAACCUGUGGGAGUGAAAGAGCUGUAAUGCUUCCGUUUGCCAAGCUGCAGGCAGCAGGAAUAAAAGAGCUGUAACCCUCUCUCCUGCUCAAUGAACAACAGGAGAGAAGAAGCUGCUGGGUGCCACUCCCUCCUGCUUGCCAAACUACAGGAGUUAAAAAGCCCCAACAAUGUCCACCCAUUCAGGCUCAAGGCACUGGGUGCCACAUUAAAAGCCUCUGCAACGACACACUGUGAUCUAGGGAGCUUCCCCAGGUCUCAACCUGACCUUCUGUUCUGACCAUUUGCCUCAUACUCUGACCAUGUGGCUCCCGAUCCUGAGCUGAUUCUCUUGGGCUGCCUCCUGAUUCUAGGCCUUGAUUCUGAUCAUGAAAACUCAUGGGAAACGACGUCUGGCAGAUCAUUCCACCCCACCUCUGACUAUGCUCAGACUAGCCCUCCAGGACCUCAUCCACUAGACUUCCCAGUGCAUUCAUCCAAGGAGAAUAUCAGGGAAGGGAGAGGUCAAGCAUGAGAAAGACUGAUGUGGAAGUAAAGAAACCUGAAUUCUUGACCCCGCCCUGCUACUAGCCAGCCUUCUGAUAUCAGGUACACUUUUAUUUCAUGUAUUUAUCAAGCAUCCAGUACCUAGCCAAGCAUAGUACUGGCACUUCAGGAACAACACAGAUGAAUAAGAAAUAGGAUCUGUUUUUAAGAAGCCCAUGGGGAAGCAGACCCAUACAUAAAAUCUAAGCCACAAAAUAUUGUAGGAUCUACUAUGUAGGGUGCUUGAG